GAGGCACCGUGACCUCAUAUUCUAAACUGGAAAGCAUUCAGACACUGCUGCCGGGGGAGGUAGAAUCUGCCUUCCCAUAGCUAUCCCGCCAACAUCACCACCCCCACGAGUGGGAAGGGAUGGAAUAAAGGCCUACUAUCUUUGGCCCAGCAGGAGGUGAGAGGGUUCUUGAGGAAGACUUCAAGAAAAUCGUUGCAGAGUUUGGAGGUGCUCCUUCCGAAGGAGAAUUCCCAUCUCACUCCCUGGCUUCGUAUCUUCUUAGCAGACUUUUUGACCUGCCUUUUACCUACCCACAUAGUGACCUAGGAGAACUGGAGGAAAACCCGGGUGGAGGAGAGAGGGACCCCAUGGCCCAGCUGCAGCACCACCACGUAGCCCUGCAAAGGAUUCCAGGACACGUUAUGGAAAAUAACCAAGCUUGAGCUCUUUGCCGUUGCCCCCGAGGGCAAGCUGUAAAGCAGAAAUCCAACAGCGAGAAGCUUGGGUCUCCUGAAGGAGUGGCCUCUGGACAAGUCGGGAACCGGAAGCAUCAGAGAAGAGAAGAUCCAGAGCAGAGACAUGUGCAGGCAGAGGCUUCUGCCGUGUCCCUGGAAGACUCACAUGGACAGUCUGGAAGAAAGCCAACAUCGGGACCCCUGACACACAGCCCAAAGUCAGAAAGGUGCUGGGACUUCUCACCUGGCCGGUGACAGGCCAGGCCCAGCGGUGGCGGGCGCACCUCCCCCAGGGGGUUGGCGGACGAGGAGCAGGGGGGGCUGACACGGAGGAGGAGCAAACGCAGGAGAAUCCGAAAUACUUUUUAAAUCGUACAUUGAGAUUUUAUGAGAAAAUGGACAUUCAUCAAGGAACUCUAAUAGCCAACAUUCUAAAUUUCAAAAGCUAAGACCGGUAUCCUGUGACUUUGAA